rnacentral:misc_RNA from 1 species
GUGAAUCAUCAAAUUUUUGAACGCAAAUUGCACUCCCUUCGGAGAGUAUGCGUGUUUGAGUGUCAGCCUCAAAAAAAUCGUCAUAGUCGCUGUUUCGCGGUGACAUUCGUCGGCAAUUGGGUCAUCUUAAACCUUUGGGUUUUAAGCGGCUUAAAAUUUUCUUUACGAGUCUACGAAAGUUUCUAAGAUUUACUUACAAGUUUAAGGUAUCGAUUUUUAUUUGUCCUCGCCGUUGCAUGGGU